rnacentral:snoRNA from 1 species
GGCCUCCAGAAGACUUACCUCUUGAACCUAAAUAUUGAUUGAGUGGCUAAGAAAAGGAGGAAAAGUCAAAUUGAAAUGGACUUGGAGUCUUUAGUGACAACCAAGUUCAUUUUAAACACGU